CACGCGAAGCUUGCUCCUGAAUUCAGCGGCGGACGGGUGAGUAAUGCCUAGGAAUCUGCCUGGUAGUGGGGGACAACGUUUCGAAAGGAACGCUAAUACCGCAUACGUCCUACGGGAGAAAGCAGGGGACCUUCGGGCCUUGCGCUAUCAGAUGAGCCUAGGUCGGAUUAGCUAGUUGGUGAGGUAAUGGCUCACCAAGGCGACGAUCCGUAACUGGUCUGAGAGGAUGAUCAGUCACACUGGAACUGAGACACGGUCCAGACUCCUACGGGAGGCAGCAGUGGGGAAUAUUGGACAAUGGGCGAAAGCCUGAUCCAGCCAUGCCGCGUGUGUGAAGAAGGUCUUCGGAUUGUAAAGCACUUUAAGUUGGGAGGAAGGGUUGUAGAUUAAUACUCUGCAAUUUUGACGUUACCGACAGAAUAAGCACCGGCUAACUCUGUGCCAGCAGCCGCGGUAAUACAGAGGGUGCAAGCGUUAAUCGGAAUUACUGGGCGUAAAGCGCGCGUAGGUGGUUCGUUAAGUUGGAUGUGAAAUCCCCGGGCUCAACCUGGGAACUGCAUUCAAAACUGUCGAGCUAGAGUAUGGUAGAGGGUGGUGGAAUUUCCUGUGUAGCGGUGAAAUGCGUAGAUAUAGGAAGGAACACCAGUGGCGAAGGCGACCACCUGGACUGAUACUGA
rnacentral:rRNA from 1 species